GACGAACGCUGGCGGCGUGCCUAAUACAUGCAAGUCGAGCGAGUCUGCCUUGAAGAUCGGAGUGCUUGGACUCUGUGAAACAAGAUACAGGCUAGCGGCGGACGGGUGAGUAACACGUGGGUAACCUGCCCAAGAGAUCGGGAUAACACCUGGACACAGAUACUAAUACCGGAUAACAACAAAUGAUGCCUUUCAACUGUUUAAAAGAUGGUUCUGCUCUCACUCAUGGAUGGACCUGCGGUGCAUUAGCUAGUUGGUAGGGUAACGGCCUACCAAGGCAAGGAUGCAUAGCCGAGUUGAGAGGCUGAUCGGCCACAUUGGGACUGAGACACGGCCCAAACUCCUACGGGAGGCAGCAGUAGGGAAUCUUCCACAAUGGGCGCAAGUCUGAUGGAGCAACGCCGCGUGAGUGAAGAAGGGUUUCGGCUCGUAAAGCUCUGUUAUUGGUGAAGAAGGACAGUGUUAGUAACUGACCUUUGUUUGACGGUAAUCAAUGAGAAAGUCACGGCUAACUAAGUG
rnacentral:rRNA from 1 species